GAUGCAAUCUGAGGUUCAGUGGAUCGCCCCUUCUGUCUGAGCAUUGGGAGAGGUAACCAGCCCAGCUUCUGGAUGGACUAUGCUGCCCACUGAAGCAACUUGGAAAGAUCUACGAAUGGGCACAUGAGAGCUACUACCGUUAUACCUGGUGAUCAGAAUUAAUAUGGAGACCUUCACAGAACCACUGAUAAUAACUAGCUCUCUUCUGAAAACUACCACGUAGGAAAAAGAACUCUCCAACAUCAAUUGGAAGACUAUAAGCAAAGCUUUCAAGGUAGUGCUCCAUUAUUUUUGAUAUGGAAAACAAAUUUAAGUACUGGAUGGGUUGUCACAUGCCUAUAAUCCUACACUCAGGAGGCAGAGCAAGACUACAAGUUUG